ensembl:lncRNA
AAAGACAGGAAGCUAAAAUUUCUCACCACACCAACACUAUUACGUUUGAUAAAGCAAUCAGUGAUCAAUGAAGAAUUAAUGAAGGUACCUUAAACAGGCCACCUUCCCUUGGUUAAACUAAAGGAAAGUGUGUUGUUGGAUACAGGCUGGCUACCUUCCAGAGAAAUCUAUCUGCGGGCAGGAUCUGGGACACACACAUGCCGGAACAACUUAAAAGCGAGUGAUCCCAUCUAGCUCAACUGGUAGACUGCCAUGGAUAAACCUAUGUUGGUCCGCCUGCCAUUGUUGGUGGAGGACCCUGGAGUCCCUGACGUGACACUUGAACAACCGCAACUUCCCCAUCUAUUGCCAC